rnacentral:lncRNA from 1 species
GUUUCUGAGAAGGGGCACAGCAGGCAGAGGGAAUGGCAGGCAGAGCAGGAUGUGGAGCAGGCUGGGGCCUGCAGCGGCACCAGGUAUGUGGCUGAGGCAGGCGCUGGCCCGCGGCAGGUGCAGCUCAGCCAGUGCCCGGCGGCCUCAGGAAAGGAAAACCUGCAGGUGCAGUUGGGACUUGUCCUGAGACUCCCCAGCCACGCGUUUUUCUGAAUAGUUGUCCUAUCUGCGUUGCCUGCCUGUGAGAUUAUGGUCUGCAUGGAAGGGGCUUCCAAGGAGGGAGAGGUUUGGUGGAGCCUCCAGUUCUGGUGUAUACUAGCUUCUUAGGAAGUGAGGGGCAGCCUCAGAAAGCAGGGCAAGCAUGGGUGUUCCAGAACUGCAUGCUGACUGAGACUGCACCAGAGGACCAGUGGCAGUGGAAUUCCUUCUGCCAUCCCCAGGCCAGCCAGUCACCCCUAGAGCCACACCUCUGCAUGCUGCCCCAGCCUGUAUCAGACAGAUGAGAGUCUAUUGAUUGCAGAUUGGCACCUGCAGCUUCCUCCCAGCUCUCCUGCACACCAAAGAUUCUUCAGCUCCCCAACAUGAUGCCCAUCAUGCUGCAGACUUCCAAAGCCUACCUGAAUUCUCCUUGGUUGGAUUCCCAAGAACCAAUGUGGUUCAGCACACAUCAUACUCAGUAGUCUGUUAAAUUAUCUCUCAGCCCCUCUCAUGACCUGUAAUCAGAGGCAGUUUAGCAAAUAAGCAAUGAUUGUCUCAAGUGGAAACAAGUAAAAAAUGGAGCUACAUAUCUUAUACAAGUUUCAAACACUUCGUCGCAGGGACCUGCCACCCCAUUCAGAAAAGUCUAAUGAAGAUGUGGGGUGAGGUUCUGGGAAGUGGGGAGAUCUUGUCUUUUCAGAAAGUUAACUCAAGGAAUGAUGGUUAUUGUAGCAGUCACUGUGACCCGCAGAACAAGGAGGAGGAACAGGUUGAUACCUCACUCUGCCUGGACACUGACCCAGGAAAGGGGCUAGGGCUGCACGAAAAGGAAGUGUUGGGGCACAGGGGUGACCCUGGAACACCGGCUCCUUUCAAAGUAGAACAGAAAGAACAGCACCGGCCAUAGAACGCCCUGGGAACUCGCCCUAGAGAGAGGCCAGGAGGGGAAAGACGCUGAGAGAAUGUAAAGGGUCUAGGUGGGGUCGGUACGGGAGCGCUGGGUGGAGGAGCGGUAGAUGGAGGCCUGCAGGCGGGAGAAGGCAGGAGGAAGCUUAGGGCCACCCUGGCACGGGCAUCUGGAGAGAUGGCACGCUGGGGCAGCACUGCACAUUGGUUGGUUCUUUCCCCGGCCGACAUCCAGUCUCUGGGCAGGUGGGGAGAGGUGCAGAGAAGCGCCUCUGUGAGGAGGGCUGGAGGGGCUGCAGUGGGAGCCCUCCUUUCUCAGGUCAUGUGCUCCGGCUGCCCCACACACGCCUCCCAGUCCCUCCCUGGCAUCCUCAGGCCACCUGAGGCAGGUAGGCGGCGGCUGCAACCACACACCUGCCCUGUCAGGACCUGUUGUUUCUGGAGAAGAAUGCAAGAACAUGAAAUCCCUUCAAUGCUGUGUUGCCCUGCAGUGUGUGUGUGUGUGUGUGUGUGUGUGUGUGUGUGUGUGUAGGGAAGAGUUCACAGCACAAAAUCAAAUGUAAAUCUAUUUAAGCCCUGACCCCAGGAGCCAGAAAGUCAGAUAGAGACCAGACAUAGAAAGAGACAGAAAAGGAUCACUCCUUGUUUAAAAGAAAGCACCUGAGCCUCUCUGCUUGUGGUUCACAUGAAACCCUAAAAGGCAGAACUCUUUGUUCCCAGCUGCAGUGGACAAAACACGACACACCUUGCUCCUUCGUUCUCCUGUACAUCAGCCUCAGUGCCUCCUGGGCUGGGGAGCGGCCCUGAAACCCGCACUCUGCCCUUUGCUUUGAACUCAGCCCUUAAGGCCGCAUCCUCCAGGAUCCAGUAAGCUAAUACCUUUGGUUGAACCCCUGAGCAAGAACUCCUCAGCACACCCCGAGGCAAGAGUUCCCACCGCCAAAACUCAUCUUGUCCCAUAGCACCCUACCCACAGCCUUGUUCUGUGGACUCUUCAGCCGAGUGAAAUGGAGCUCUGACCCUUGGCCUCUCCAAGGAGCCCAAAGGGUUCCUGCAGCACAGUGCGCCUGGACUCACACAAGUACGGCGUGUGUGUGGUGGCGGAGGUGGGAGGUCAUCAGAAUACCUGCCACAUAGGGCAGAGAAGAUGUAAGUGAACAAAUUGAAAGUACUUACAGUGGGGUCUGGCAUAGACGACAUGCUCAAUAAAUGUUAGCUCCCAUAAUUAUCACAUGUAGAUGAUUUAUCAUGUGAAGAUCUUCGUGCUUUGGUCACCUUUCGGGGACUUGAAUCUGUUUUCCUACUCAAUGUCACAUCCCCAGGAACAGCAGUGACUGCAGCUUCCUUCUGGAUCCCGCUCACCGCGCUCAGGCAGUGCUCAGUAGGAGCCGCUGGCUGCCUGCCACUUGCCACAGUUCCAGAGCACAGUUGGAAUCCCUCCACGGAUCAGCGUCCGCAGUGGGCACGCCUGGAAGGAGCCAAGGUAAUCACCGUAGCCCUGACCCACAGCCAGAGUAGAUGCUCACUUCCUGAAGCCGGCCCACAGAACUCUCAGCUUAUCCAAGAUGAACUCCGCACACCUGAAGCUCUUACAGGUCCAAGGAAAGGAAAAAGGAAACUCAUGGCUCCUGCUGGUUUUCUUCACUAGACUGUUGGGCCACACCAGUGUUCACAGCUCAGACCCUCUGAUGCCCCUUGCAGGAGUGUUCCAGGAGAGGGACACGAGCCUGUGGACUCCCACGGCAUGAACGUCCCAGCCAGGCUGCCAGGAUGACCCUGCUCUUCCUGACCUCCUCGCCCCUCUGUGGGGUGAGUGUGAGUACAGAGUACUAAGGGACACAGGAUCAGUUCUUGAGAGGAUGAGAGCCAGGCAUAGAUCAUCCCUGCAAGAAUUUAGGGUUACGUAGGGUCCAUGUGCUAUAGCAAAAUGUGACUGUACCAUGGAGUGGAACUAAUAUUUCCUUAUUAAAGGACUACACAGUGAGACACUGGUGCCCCAAGGCCACUCUAGCUUCCCUGCUCAUUUAUGGGAAAAGUGGAUGGAGGUGUCCAGCCCCAGUUUCAACGGUGCUAUAUGAAAUCCUGAAGCCUGUCCCUUCUAGUGGUGAAAUUAUUACUCAGGCUCAUCUACACAGGCAUAACUACUAAAACUUUGCCCAGUGAGGAAUUACCUCACCUACCCCUAACUGAACUGUUCACAUGAAAAAUAAAAUAAAAGCCAGUCUUAAGUGGAUCUCCCACACUAUUGAUGGCCUGAGGUGCUGGGGCUCGUUAGGAUUAGGGCCUGGAAAAAUAAAUAGUGACUGAAGUUAAGUCAUUUUGAUUAGCAGCUUCAGUAAAAGAAACAAUAAUUGGCUUGGGAAUUAUUUGAAGGCUAUAUGAAUCUUUUGGCUCAGGAAAGGAAAUAUAUAUGCUCUGUGACUGCUCUGUUGAGCAGAAUACAUCCAAUACCUUAACGUGGGAGGAGACUAUUGUAUGCAAGGAACUAAUAUAAAGUUCCUUUGCAAGACAUGUGCUCGAAAUAAAAGAUUUCAGAUGUCCCUCCAGAAGAGAAACUCACUAAGAAUGGGAAACAGAUUUCUCAUGAAAUUAUUAAUUGCAAAACAAAUACAGAAAGGACACUUUCUGCAUGUCCUCCAAACAGUGCCAAUGGUUCAGGGUUUGCAUACAAUCAGGUAUCCUUAAAGGCCAGGUCACAGAAGUAUGGGAGAAAACCAUAUGGGAGUUGUGAAGACCAGAGACCCUAUAAGCUCCUAGCCAGGUGACAUCUUCUUGUCUCCUUCUGCUGUUUUUGCUUGUUAUGAAGAGUUAAAAUUCUGCUGCCUAUGGGUCCUUGGCACCAUGCAUGAACCUGGAGAACAUUAGACUGAGUGAAAUAGAUAGAACUCAGGCAGAGAGACAAUUACUGCCUGUUGUCACCAUAUGUCAACGUUUCAAAAGUCAACUCAGAAGUACACCAUAGAAUAGUCGUUACCAGGGUGAGGAAG